AAACUACUCCCUUCGUCUCAUAAUUUUUGUCUUAGAUUUGUCUAGAUACGGAUGUAUCAAGUCACGUUUUAGUAUUAGAUACAUCUGUGUCUAGACAAAUCUAAGACAAGAAUUUUGAGACGGAGGGAGUAUAUU
rfam:Triticum aestivum genome assembly, contig: Triticum_aestivum_CS42_TGACv1_scaffold_374437_5AL